rnacentral:rRNA from 1 species
UACGUAGGGGGCAAGCGUUGUCCGGAAUUAUUGGGCGUAAAGAGCUCGUAGGCGGCUUGUCGCGUCGGCUGUGAAAACCUGGGGCUCAACCCUGGGCCUGCAGCCGAUACGGGCAAGCUAGAAUUCGGUAGGGGAGACUGGAAUUCCUGGUGUAGCGGUGAAAUGCGCAGAUAUCAGGAGGAACACCGGUGGCGAAGGCGGGUCUCUGGGCCGAUAUUGACGCUGAGGAGCGAAAGCGUGGGGAGCGAACAGG